GGAGGUAUAGCUCAGUGGUAGAGCAUUUGACUGCAGAUCAAGAUCAAGAGGUCUCUGGUUCAACUCCAGGUGCCCCCU